GGACGGGAGCUGGAAGCCACUGGGAAGCUUGUGUUUGUUUUUGUGCCCCUAGGCCCUAGGCUAUGCCCUAGGCCUUGCGGAUUGCGGUGACCAACAAGUCGAGAUAAUUGAUAGGAACAAUGAAUUUUAAUAGGACAGCGCCCGGAACGCUUCGAAAUAACCAUGCGUCCCCAAGCUCGCCACGGUACGAUCACACCCUCGCUCUACACUCGCUCUCGCCCCCUUGCCCUUUGACCUUCCAUCCUGCAUGCACAUGUGAGAUCGUCGUGGAUGACGGCGAGGUCAUCUGUGGCAAUCUUAUCGUCCUCACUGAAGCUGGUCGCCAGCAGGUCAAAGUCAAGAUGACCAACUUCCAACAUCCCCUGAUAACAAUCGCCCUCAUCGCUGCUGCGAUCAGUGUUGAAGACUGACGAAGCGAGCGAUGCUGUAGACGUUAUUGUAUCGAAAGGCAAAAGGUAAACGAGGAAGAUGAAGCGUGUGACGCCGAGAUAUCCAAGUCUGCAAUUGCAUGCAAUUGGACGCCGCAUUUUGGGCGAGUGACGUCGCCGACCCACCAAACAUGGCGGCCUUUCCGAAUGGGGUGGGCCCGAGGGUCCCGUGAACAAAUCAAUUUAUCCAUGAAACUGUCGCGCCAUUUAUGAAAUAAAUUUAGCAAAAUAUAUAGAAACAUACAAUGGAUCCUAGCAGUAUAGUUAUCUCAUUCUUUUAUUUUUGGCAUGUCCUGACCCCUUUAAAUCUGGAUGACCGGUGUGCAGAUUUAUGUUUUUUGUAUUGUCUUCCAUAGAUUCUUUAAAUGAUUGUAGUUAUAUGAAAAGCAGUAGAGUGUCUCUUUAUGAACUUACAAACAUAAAAGAUGCAGACCACUGUAUGAUGUGGCUCAAACAUGGUCUGUGUUGUAGCAAAGCUGGAUUGUGACUGGUGAAGGAGAUACCUGCUAUUUUGAGAGCUAUACAUAUUUCAUGUAUAUGGCUUGCUAAACAUUACCACUUUUCACUCAAAACCAAGUGUGCCAGAGCAUUAAGGGAUCACUGUCCUUGUGUGUACCUGUGAUGUUCAGUGUUGUGGAAUAUAAUGUAUGUAUACAUUGAUCCAAAAUGCCCAAUUCCCAUGGCUUUGGAAGACUAAAUGUUUGUGUAACUUUAUAGUCCCUAAGGAAUCCAGGUACCAGCUAUGCUAUGCAAAUUUAAUUUUUCAAUGCUGUGUUGCUCAUAAUCUGGUGUCUUCUGACAAGGUAUGUAGCAAUUAACAUACCGCAAAAUUGGCACCUAAAUUUUAUGCCUGCCUCGGUGAUAGUAAUGGUGUUUCUGAGUGCCCAAUUCCAGAUGAUGACAGUCCUUUUCAAUUUUCAGUUAAAAAUGUAAUGCAUGCAUUGGAGAUUUUACUGUAGUUUGUGAAAUUAUAUACUUUUAGGGUUGAAUGAAGCAACCUCUAUAUGGAGAACCAUUGCAGGGAUGUGAUGAUGUUUAUGAUAACAUUUUCUAGUGGCUUAUACAAAUGUUCUGUUCUUAGUACUUGCUUAUAUUUUUAUGUUUUUACAAGCAGUGUUUUCACUGCUAUGCUUUGCUUCAGAGUAUUUCACCAUGAUAUUACUUUUCGUUUGGAUGCAAAUGAAUGAACUUUGUACCAUGGUUCUGUGGGAAGAUAAACUGAUGGUCUCUUGCCAGGUCUUUGGUAAUGACAUUUCUCAUCAUUACCUUUUUGUUGCACCUUGAGUUCUAGUCGCCAUUAAUAGAUUUUUGCAAUUGCGUUGUUAGAACCUUUCUGUUGUUAUUGGUGGAGUUGAAGGCCCAGAAAUUUGCCGAGUAAGAACCCAUAGUCUUUGUUGAGUGGGUGAACUUGGUUUUUCUUUGCAUUGAUUCCUACAAAGCAUUUGAUACAAAGUGCCUCGAGUAGUUUUUAAAAUAUUUCAUAUUCCGCUAUCUAAGAAGAGUUGGAGGGAAAAAUGUUCGCAAACCCUCUGAUCUGGUGUUAAUAUAGUGUGUGUUUUAAUCAUGCAUUUACAUUCUUUGAUCUUUCCACCCAUUGGUUGCAAUCCGACCGUUCACCAUUUCUCUGCAUAUUUCACUUCCAUGUCAUGGCCCGUUUUGGUUCUCCUGAGUCGUAUAACUGCUUGAUUAGCAACUCAAGUAAUUCUAUUGUUUGCUAGGUUCUGCCCCAUUUGACCCCUUCUGAGGUCACGUUGUAUGAAUGAAGCACAUUGCUAUUUUAAUAUUUAAUUAUCUCAAUUUGUUGGCAUUACAGUAGUCAUCUCUAGAAAGCUGCCAGUGUUGAAUAUGUGUGGUUUGUCUGUGGUAUACUGUAGUACAUGUGUUGGUAUAUUGUCCAACAUCUUGGCCUGAAUGCUCAUUUGUGGGACCGAACCUUCAAGACUAUUAAGAGCUGGAUUGUGUGUGUGAUAUUCGACCCUUCAAUGCCGAGUCACGUGUGAAAAAUCCUUGGAAGCACUGAUAUUCUCUCGCAUUGCAUUUUUGUGUUCUUUGUACACGAUACCCUCAGGAUGCUGGGUUAUUUAGCCACUGAAGAAUUGUUCUGCUUACAUAUGUGCACGGAAUAUAUUAAGAGUGGUUCACAGUUGUAUAAUUUUAUGUCCAGAAGUAAAAAUAUGCAUUUCGACUUC
rnacentral:lncRNA from 1 species